rnacentral:rRNA from 1 species
UUCCCCUAGUAACUGCGAGUGAAGCGGGAAAAGCUCAAAUUUAAAAUCUGACAGUCUUUGGCUGUCCGAGUUGUAAUCUAGAGAAGCAUUAUCCGCGCUGGACCGUGUACAAGUCUCCUGGAAUGGAGCGUCAUAGAGGGUGAGAAUCCCGUCUUUGACACGGACUGCCAGGGCUUUUGUGAUGUGCUCUCAAAGAGUCGAGUUGUUUGGGAAUGCAGCUCAAAAUGGGUGGUAAAUUCCAUCUAAAGCUAAAUAUUGGCGAGAGACCGAUAGCGAACAAGUACCGUGAGGGAAAGAUGAAAAGAACUUUGGAAAGAGAGUUAAACAGUACGUGAAAUUGCUGAAAGGGAAACGCUUGAAGUCAGUCACGUCAGCCAGGGAUCAGCCUUGCUUUUGCUUGGUGUACUUUCUGGUUGAUGGGUCAGCAUCAAUUUUGACUAUUGGAAAAAGAUUAGGGGAAUGUAGCAUCUUCGGAUGUGUUUAUAGCCCUUGGUUGCAUACAAUGGUUGGGAUUGAGGAACUCAGCACGCCGCAAGGCCGGGUUUUAACCACGUACGUGCUUAGGAUGCUGGCAUAAUGGCUUUAAUCGACCCGUCUUGAAACACGGACCAAGGAGUCUAACAUACCUGCAAGUGUUUGGGUGGAAAACCCGAGCGCGUAAUGAAAGUGAAAGUUGAGAUCCCUGUCAUGGGGAGCAUCGACGCCUGGACCAGACCUUUUGUGACGGUUCCACGGUAGAGCAUGUAUGUUGGGACCCGAAAGAUGGUGAACUAUGCCUGAAUAGGGUGAA